GAAAGGGAAUGUUCAGGUAAAGAUAAAGAUUGUGCUAAGGCGAGCUCAGGGAGGACAGAAACCUCCCGUGGAGCAGAAGGGCAAAAGCUCGCUUGAUCUUGAUUUUCAGUACGAAUACAGACCGUGAAAGCGGGGCCUCGCGAUCCUAAAAAAAAUAAAAAUAAAAAAGAUAAAGAUUGUGGAGACCAGAGUUCUUUGGAAUUUUUGUAG
rnacentral:ncRNA from 1 species